AGAGUUUGAUCCUGGCUCAGGAUGAACGCUGGCGGCGUGCUUAACACAUGCAAGUCGAACGAAGAAAUACGGGAUGAGAGCUUCGGCAGGAUUUCUGUAUGCUCUUAGUGGCGGACGGGUGAGUAACGCGUGGGCAACCUGCCCUUUACAGGGGAAUAAUCACUGGAAACGGUGACUAAUACCGCAUGUCACCGAGGAAUGGCAUCAUUUUUCGGGAAAAAGGAGCAAUCCGGUAAAGGAUGGGCCCGCGUCUGAUUAGCUAGUUGGUGGGGUAACGGCCUACCAAGGCGACGAUCAGUAGCCGACCUGAGAGGGUGAUCGGCCACAUUGGGACUGAGACACGGCCCAAACUCCUACGGGAGGCAGCAGUGGGGAAUAUUGCACAAUGGGGGGAACCCUGAUGCAGCAACGCCGCGUGAAGGAAGAAGGUUUUCGGAUCGUAAACUUCUAUCAACAGGGACGAAGAAAGUGACGGUACCUGAAUAAGAAGCCCCGGCUAACUACGUGCC
rnacentral:rRNA from 1 species